GAUGAAGAACGCAGCGAAAUGCGAUACGUAAUGUGAAUUGCAGAUUUCAGUGAAUCAUCGAAUCUUUGAACGCACAUUGCGCCCGCUAGUAUUCUGGCGGGCAUGUCUGUUCGAGCGUCAUUUCAACCAUCAAGCCCUAGGCUUGCGUUGGAGCCCUGCGGCUGCCGCAGGCUCCCAAAUCCAGUGGCGGGCUCGUCGUCGUACCGAGUGCAGUAAACAUCCUCGCUCAGGGAACGUGACGGGUUCUUGCCGUGAAACCCCCCACAUAUCAAGGUUGACCUCGGAUCAGGUAGGAAUACCCGCUGAACUUAAGCAUAUCAAUAAGCGGAGGA
rnacentral:misc_RNA from 1 species